GUGAGGAAUAUUGCGCAAUGGACGAAAGUCUGACGCAGCCAUGCCGCGUGAAGGAUUGACGGCCCUAUGGGUUGUAAACUUCUUUUGUAUAGGAAUAAACCCUCGUUCGUGAACGAGGCUGAAGGUACUAUAAGAAUAAGCACCGGCUAACUCCGUGCCAGCAGCCGCGGUAAUACGGAGGGUGCAAGCGUUAUCCGGAUUUAUUGGGUUUAAAGGGUCCGUAGGCGGAUCGUUAAGUCAGUGGUGAAAUCCUACCGCUCAACGGUAGAACUGCCAUUGAUACUGGCGAUCUUGAGUAUGUAUGAAGUUGGCGGAAUGUGUGGUGUAGCGGUGAAAUGCUUAGAUAUCACACAGAACACCGAUUGCGAAGGCAGCUGACUAAUACACAACUGACGCUGAGAGACGAAAGUGUGGGGAUCAAACAGGAUUAGAUACCCCGGUAGUCC
rnacentral:rRNA from 1 species